UACGGGGGGGGCAAGCGUUGUUCGGAAUUACUGGGCGUAAAGCGUGCGCAGGCGGUUUUGUAAGCCAGAUGUGAGAGCCCCGGGCUUAACCUGGGAAUGGCAUUUGGGACUGCAAGGCUUGAGUGCGGCAGAGGAGACUGGAAUUCCUGGUGUAGCAGUGAAAUGCGUAGAUAUCAGGAGGAAUACCGAUGGCGAAGGCAGGUCUCUGGGCUGACACUGACGCUCAUGCACGAAAGCGUGGGGAGCAAACAGG
rnacentral:rRNA from 1 species